CACCACAGAAGAAGCAACUACAACAAUUGAGCUCACCCGGGUCCAGGUGUUAUCAUUUUUGGCGCUUGCCGUGGUGUCGACAUCAUCCCCAAUCAGCCAGUGGAAGUUCGUAUCGCUGCGGAUGCGGAUGCGUUUCAUUUCUUUCUUGGAGACGUACGAGCCAUCGGCAUUGAAGUCGCCCAGGAUCAUGAUGUUCUAGGCAAACAGAACAUCAACACUCAGAAGUGCAGCAGGUGUCAACAGGGGCCCAGUCCUUACAUCAGUCUUCCACUUGCCCUUGACCUGCUGGAAGACAUCGUAGAGCUCGUCCAGCUCCUUAUCUGAGUCCUCUGGCUUGGUGUGAACUGGGAUCACCACAAGAGCUGAGCCUGACAAGCUGAGCCUGAGAUGUCCUAAGAUGGCCAACGUGCAGAGGAAAAACAACAUGGCCAGUCCCGUGGUGGCAUCUUCAGGACAACCUGAAUUGUUUUGCCCUACUAAUAACCUACAGACAGACAAGGUGUGUCUCACCUGUAGGAGUGGUGAGGAUCUGCUGCUGCUGACAGGACCUUAGAUUGGAUCUGUUUACUCCCAGUAAGGGAAAUAAAGUGAAGAAAGAGAAGGACAACCUUGUAGACUUCACAAGAAAAACGUCAGCACCUGGACUAUCAGCACAGGCGUCC